UCUUCCCUGGCUCAGAGGAUAAAGCGUCUGCCUGCAAAGCAGGAGACCCGGGUUCGAUCCCUGGGUUGGGAA
rnacentral:tRNA from 1 species